AUGCAAGAAGAGUUGGACCAUGGGACUGCUGCUGCCUUGAAGAAGAGAGGAAGAAAAGAAAUCAAAGGGACAGAGAAUGCUCAACUCCUGAGUGCUGCACUGAGGAAGAGUGAACUGGCCAAAGGGACUCUGAAGAAAAACUCCAUAAUGCUGCAGAGAAAAUCUCCUGACAACUGCAUGGGCCAGUCUCAUCUCCAGGUUCAAAGCAGAAGUAACUUCCUAAUGAAGAGCAUGGAAACUUAUCAGCUGCAGAAACAAGGAAACACUCUGUGUCUCAGACUCCAACAACAGCAGCUUGUAACGUAAGCAUAGCAGCUUGUAAGUUAUCACAGCUUGCCGAUAACUUUUGGCACAACACCGCUCAAAAUACCAGUUCUGAAGAGGCAAAACAAUUCUUUCAGGACCUUGACCAGUCAAUCCAACACAUUGUUUAGGAGACUUAAUAGGUUCAGCAAUUAAUUCAGAAAGACCAGAAGCAGUUUUUAUAGAUCUGUCCUGGGUUGAUUAUGAAGUUAAAUUGUAUCCCCAUUCGUCCACCUAACCCAGAGACAGGUUUUGUAUUCCUAAAAUUCCAUCUGAGACUAAAAGUGAGUGGGAAAGAAGCACCGAGUCUGUUAUCAGAGACUGUACUUGCUCCCCCCGCAUCGGGAGUUUUGACUACAGCACAGACAGACAACAAGACACAGAUCGCCUUGUCUUUCCAACUAGCCAGAGCAGAGGGAUCUUCCUGGACUGUUUUCUUUCCCUUUUUCUGAAACAAAUUGAACCUGCUUUGGACUGGGGACUCGGGGGAGCACCGGGAGCUCACACCCGUGGACUACCGGGAGCCCAGCCUGGGCAGCGGCAUUUUCCAGCCCCAGAGGGACUGAUAACAGAGCAAACACCCACAGGAAAGAGACCCUCUGAAGUUUUUCAUCUCUUCAGAGCGGCGAGGGGUUUUGUAACUUGAUAUCAUUCAUUUUUUGUGCUGGGUAGUGCUGUGCCUGUGAAAUAAACAGGUUUUUUCCACUUCUCUCA
rnacentral:lncRNA from 1 species